GUUGCAGAAUGCAUGGGAGAACGAUCAGCCAGCACUGAGGGAGGAAAGUUUAACCUUUAUUUCGCAGAUCUGCUCGUCCAGGGGAAUUCCGGAUCCAAAGCCUGAACUGAACUUGUGGGGAGGCUCUGUUCUCAUGUCUCCUCCUGUGGAGGGCCCCUGAUGGUCCCUGCAGCUCCGUCCAAGUCAGUCUUGGCAGGGCCUUGGGGGCAUGCUCCAAAGCUCUGCUUAAGUCAGCUGUGGCAGGCCCAGGGGUUAUGCUCUGCAGCUCCAUCCAAGUCAGUCAGAGUGCGGAAGUAAGACUACAGUUUUAACCAGAUACUGAAUUAGGUUGCAAGCCCCCUCCCCCCACCCAAUUUUCAUUUUCAUGCCCCCUUCAGC